rnacentral:misc_RNA from 1 species
GGCUGUAUCUAACAACAAUACAAAGUGAACAGUGAGUGCUAGUGCAUUAUAGUGAAGUUCCCUAACAACAAUUGGUACGAGGAUUCCAUUUCUUGAGGUUGCACGGACAACAAGGCUUAAAUGGGGCGAAGGAAAUUAAAUUAAAAACUAAAGUUCCUUGCACGAUACGCAAAUACUCGCACAGACUGCCGAUGUUUGCUCUGGGAACGUUAUCAUUUGAUAAGUUAGAACACAAGCCGCGUGCAAACAACGUUAUCAUGGUAACGUUCUUGCCGGGGACUCGGCGCCGCUGCACAGACUCCGCUCCGCUGAGGCGCGCAGAACAACACACCUGAGACACGGGACUGUCUCGUCUUCCACGCCAGCGAAUGGCGCAAUGGAACUACAGCACAGAUAGUGUGACAGUGACAAUUAAUGUGACUAAGUGUUAAUGUUAGUGUAAAUAGGCAAGCCAAAGAACAAACCAAAGCUAAUUAGCUCAAAUUCCUAGUCGAGAGAGAUUUAAGCCGUCAAGCUGGAGGACCUAACGACGUUCGAGAAUACAGAAACAGAUAAUGUCAGUGCGAAGGUGGCGGAGUGCCUGGCGAAGAAUGAGAACCUGUCGAUGCAGGAGUACUGUCCUGCGUACUACGACGGGUUGCUGUGCUGGGACCCGACGCCCUGGAACACGCAGGCCAUCCAGCGCUGCUUCAGCGAGUUCCACGGCGUCCAGUACGAUGACACACAAAAUGCCUCCCGCUGGUGCAUGGACGGCGUUUGGCGCAACUACUCGAACUACGCGAACUGUACGGAACGCAUCGCGAACGUAUCGCCGACUGACGUCACCAGCCUCAUCUACCUCGCGGGCUACUCGCUCAGCCUCGCUGUGUUAUCGCUUGCGGUGUUCGUGUUCCUUUAUUUCAAAGACCUGCGAUGUCUAAGGAAUACUAUACAUACCAACCUCAUGUCUACGUAUAUUCUGUCUGCCUGCAGUUGGGUGUUAAACUUAGCUUUACAAAACUGGUCCGAUGAGGCCCAGCAAGAUCAAACGUCGUGUAUGAUUCUGGUCAUAUGUAUGCACUAUUUUUACCUCACUAAUUUCUUCUGGAUGCUUGUAGAAGGGCUUUAUCUGUACAUGCUGGUAGUGGAAACUUUCACCGCUGAAAACAUUAAACUGAAGGUGUAUACCACUAUUGGAUGGGGCGCUCCGGCAGUGUUCCUCACAGUAUGGGUGAUAUGCAGGUGUUUCGUGAACGUUGUGCCUUCCAACGGAGCUGAUGGGCUGGCCUUAGCAGGGGAGACAAAGAUGUGCAUCUGGAUGCACGAGCACCAGGUGGACUGGAUACACAAGGCUCCGGCGCUGGCAGGACUCGCCCUCAACCUAUUCUUCCUUAUUAGGAUUAUGUGGGUUUUAAUCACGAAGCUCCGAUCAGCAAAUACCCUGGAAACAGAACAGUAUAGGAAGGCAACGAAAGCGCUUCUAGUCCUGAUCCCACUGCUGGGCAUCACCAACCUCCUCGUGCUGUGUGGGCCGAGCGAUGACUCCUGGUUCGCGCAUGCCUUCGACUAUACGAGGGCACUCAUGCUUUCCACACAGGGUUUCACAGUGGCUCUAUUCUACUGCUUCAUGAACACUGAAGUACGCCACGCGAUCAGAUACCACGUGGAAAGAUGGAAAACUGGCAGAACCAUCGGCGGAGGCAGGAGACGGGGCGCCUCCUACUCCAAGGACUGGUCUCCUAGAUCCAGGACCGAGAGCAUACGAGAGUGUUUGAAUACGGAUGUUAACAAGAAGCCUGUGGGGCAGGUUGUACAGCCACCCAUCUAAACGCGAGUCGGCUGCUUCGGAGACCACCACCACGACACUGCUGGUGCCAAGAACUUCUCUCUUGCCUCCCCUUGAUGGCAGGCAUCUGCAUGCUGAUUACAUCACGAGCGGGAGCGCGAGCGGCGACCAGUCCCCGGUGUGAGGCGGGGGGCGGGGGAGGCUGCCGCGCCUGCGCACCCUGCCCGAGGAGGACGCCCCCUCUGUCGCCUCUCUCGCCUCCCCCGCCUCGACGUCCCCCAAGCAGCCCGACAACACCAUCUCCAUCCUCCCAAACCCUAACUACCACAACGGGUACCAGAAAGACCCCAAAACGCCCCACACUCCGAUUGAUAAAGCUGCUUCAAAUGGUCCAUUUUCAUUCAACAAUCGCCUGGAACCCGUGUCUAAUGCAACUACUCCGAACUCGGCGAACUCAAGCCCAAAAUAUUUUGAAUAUUAACUUUAAAGCAUUUAACGUUCCUGUAACUAUUGUAAUAUAUAAAAGCUAUUUAUUUAUUAACUAUGUGAUGCAUGAACGGACUUAGUCAUAGAGUAUGAAAUACAUUUAUUAGCGUAAUAAUUAUUACUUAAAUAAAAAAUAGAAUUCGCAUAUAGUUUCUCGAGAUAAAAUUAUUGUAUCUAUUUUAAAAUUACUGUAAUUAUCUAGAAUAGUAAUAUAAAAAGCUGAAUUCUCUUUAGUAACUUAGAGAUUUUAUAUUUAUGUGUAAACUAUGCGAUUUACCAAAACUUUUUGUACGUAUCAGUCUCACGUAAAUAAGUCAGUCUAUGAAAUGUUGCCAAAGCUACAACAGCUUUUAUAGAAUUACUAUUAUUAUAGAAAUAAUGAAAUUGUUAUAGUUUAAGUAUCUAGUUGUAAGGAAGAAAUUGGGAAACAAUGCGCUAUUUGUAUCAUAAAUUUUAUAGCAUAUCGUAAAUUUUACAUACAAUGACGUAAAUUUCUGUGUAAACUAUUCAUAAUGUGUCAUCGAUGUGGAAAUUAUGAGUGUAACAUUAUUACCAAUUUAUUAUUACAUUAGACGAGUAAAUUAAGGUCGAGAAUUAAAUAUGCUAGCUGUAUUGUGUACUAGAAAUAACUCUGUACGAGUAUUCGAUAAACAACUUAAUAAAUGUAUGAUAUCCUUUAAUUUACAUGUAAAUUCUAAAGUGAUUUAAUGUUUGUACAUUUAUCUGUAAUAAAAUUUGUGAUCGUC